rnacentral:rRNA from 1 species
GAGCCCUACGGGACGCAGCAGUAGGGAAUAUUGCUCAAUGGGGGAAACCCUGAAGCAGCAACGCCGCGUGGAGGAUGAAGGUUUUAGGAUUGUAAACUCCUUUUGUUAGAGAAGAUUAUGACGGUAUCUAACGAAUAAGCACCGGCUAACUCCGUGCCAGCAGCCGCGGUAAUACGGAGGGUGCAAGCGUUACUCGGAAUCACUGGGCGUAAAGAGUGCGUAGGCGGGGGAAUAAGUCAGAUGUGAAAUCCUGUAGCUUAACUACAGAACUGCAUUUGAAACUGUUUCUCUGGCGGGUGGGAGCG